rnacentral:rRNA from 1 species
GGACUACCAGGGUAUCUAAUCCUGUUUGCUCCCCUAGCUUUCGCAGCUGAGUGUCAGUAAUAGUCCAGUUACCUGCUUUCGCCAUUGGUGUUCCUCCCGAUCUCUGCGCAUUUCACCGCUACACCGGGAAUUCCAGUAACCUCUCCUAUACUCAAGCCCGGUAGUUUCCGUUGACCUCUCCCAGUUAAGCCGGGAGCUUACACAACAGACUUACCGGACCACCUACCUGCCCUUUACGCCUAGUAAUUCCGAGUAACGCUUGCCACCUUCGUAUUACCGCGGCGGCUGGCAC